rnacentral:rRNA from 1 species
CGGAUGAACGCUGGCGGCGUGCUUAACACAUGCAAGUCGAACGGUGAAGGAGGAGCUUGCUCUUCUGGAUCAGUGGCGAACGGGUGAGUAACACGUGAGCAAUCUGCCCUUGACUCUGGGAUAACAGUUGGAAACAGCUGCUAAUACCGGAUACGAGACGUGACCGCAUGGUCAACGUCUGGAAAGAACUUCGGUCAAGGAUGAGCUCACGGCCUAUCAGCUAGUUGGUGAGGUAAUGGCUCACCAAGGCGACGACGGGUAGCCGGCCUGAGAGGGUGACCGGCCACACUGGGACUGAGACACGGCCCAGACUCCUACGGGAGGCAGCAGUAGGGAAUAUUGCGCAAUGGGCGGAAGCCUGACGCAGCGACGCCGCGUGAGCGAAGAAGGCCUUCGGGUCGUAAAGCUCUGUCCUUGGGGAAGAAGGCGAAAGCUUGACGGUACCCAAGAAGAAAGCCCCGGCUAACUACGUG